rnacentral:rRNA from 1 species
AACGAACGCUGGCGGCAUGCCUAACACAUGCAAGUCGAACGAGACCUUCGGGUCUAGUGGCGCACGGGUGCGUAACACGUGGGAAUCUGCCCUUUGCUUCGGAAUAACAGUUAGAAAUGACUGCUAAUACCGGAUGAUGUCGAAAGACCAAAGAUUUAUCGGCAAAGGAUGAGCCCGCGUAGGAUUAGGUAGUUGGUGGGGUAAAGGCCUACCAAGCCGACGAUCCUUAGCUGGUCUGAGAGGGUGAUCAGCCACACUGGGACUGAGACACGGCCCAGACUCCUACGGGAGGCAGCAGUGGGGAAUAUUGGACAAUGGGCGAAAGCCUGAUCCAGCAAUGCCGCGUGAGUGAUGAAGGCCUUAGGGUUGUAAAGCUCUUUUACCAGGGAUGAUAAUGACAGUACCUGGAGAAUAAGCUCCGGCUAACUCCGUG